rnacentral:snRNA from 2 species
GUGGUAGCUUUGACAGCCCAGGUGCUAAAAUUAGAACAGCGCAGAGAAGAUCUUGGCUCUUGCCCCAGGAUGGCAUGUAAAUUCAUGAGGCAUCCUGUAUUUUU